rnacentral:rRNA from 1 species
UGUAGCUGUAGCUCAGUANUAGUCGAACGGAAAGGCCCCUUUGGGGUGCUCGAGUGGCGAACGGGUGAGUAACACGUGAGUAACCUGCCCUUGGCUUUGGGAUAACCUUCGGAAACGGGGGCUAAUACCGGAUAUUUCCUGUGCAUCGCAUGGUGUGUGGGGGAAGGUUUUUUCGGCCAGGGAUGGGCUCGCGGCCUAUCAGCUUGUUGGUGGGGUGAUGGCUUACCAAGGCUUUGACGGGUAGCCGGCCUGAGAGGGCGACCGGCCACACUGGGACUGAGACACGGCCCAGACUCCUACGGGAGGCAGCAGUGGGAAUAUUGCACAAUGGACGCAAGUCUGAUGCAGCGACGCCGCGUGAGGGAUGACGGCCUCCGGGUUGUAAACCUCUUUCGCCAAGGACGAAGCGAAAGUGACGGUACUUGGAGAAGAAGCGCCGGCCAACUACGUGCCAGCAGCCGCGGUAAGACGUAGGGCGCGAGCGUUGUCCGGAUUUAUUGGGCGUAAAGAGCUCGUAGGCGGCUUGUUGCGUCGUCCGUGAAAACCUGGGGCUCAACUUCAGGUCUGCGGACGAUACGGGCAGGCUGGAGUUCGGUAGGGGAGACUGGAAUUCCUGGUGUAGCGGUGAAAUGCGCAGAUAUCAGGAGGAACACCGGUGGCGAAGGCGGGUCUCUGGGCCGAUACUGACGCUGAGGAGCGAAAGCGUGGGGAGCGAACAGGAUUAGAUACCCUGGUAGUCCACGCUGUAAACGUUGGGCGCUAGGUGUGGGGGGCCUCUCCGGUUUCCUGCGCCGUAGCUAACGCAUUAAGCGCCCCGCCUGGGGAGUACGGCCGCAAGGCU